AGUAGCACGCUGAAGAAACACGAAGGCGAGCGGGCCCUCCGGUAAGUAAGUCAGAGUAAGUUAUGUGAUGGUUGACGCCGCCCGCAACACAUAACGAAGUGGUGGAUUAGCGGUACCCGAGGGAGCGGCGGCGGCUGCUCGGCGACGGAGGAGAGGCCAUGGGGGGCCGGGCGGCGCUGCCGCUGUAACAGCUGCUGAUGGUGCCGCAAGAACACGGCCUGGGGAUGUCUACCACUCACUAGACUUAGACGAGCAUCAUAAGCGGGCAAAGGCCCCCGACCAAAAACGGCAAAGAGAAGCUCGAGUUUUCGUGUCAGCGUUCUCGCAAAGAAGCUGGACGCGUAGAUACUUGAAAACUGGUCUAACUAUGUACGGCUGGGCUCUCUACGUCCUACAAACAACACAAGUUUUUUUUCUUCUUCUUCCUCAUAAGCAAACGCAAAUAAACGAACUAAGUAUGCGCACGUAUAACGAUACCGGGUACCAAACCACGACGGUUUAUAGUGACCUCUUUCUUGUUUCCUUCUAUCAAGUCAACCAAGAAAGAGCACUUUCCUUUUAUAAUAACCUCCUGCAAAAAAGGAAAAGGAAGUUUUAACCGUGCCCAAACCUAUCAUCGUAAACGUCGUGUGUGUCACGUAAGUAAAAUGAUCCUUCUACGUCAAAGUAAAAGGAAGUUCGUUUUUCAUGCCCAAAUCCUGUUCCUUGUCAGUGAACCUACAUGAAAAUAGUAAAAUCGUGUGUGCGGUGCCAAGAAAAAUGAUCUUUACGUAUCAAAAACGAUGAUGAGGAUGUGCGUCUUGUGGGCAACUUAACUCUUACGUGCGUGCUGCCGUCCUCUUAGUAACCAGGUAAGUAAAGUGGCACCACCGUAGUUCUAGCUCAUGUGGCGAGCACCGCGAGUACGCGGGGAUACAUCGUUUUCUACGUUGGAGGAACCUCUGACGUCAUUAUUGUGCCGUGAACGACGAUUUAUAAAGUGGUGCGGUCUCCUCCUAGUGACGAGGUAAGUAAAGUGGCGACGACGUGGGUCUGAGGGUCUCGUGUGUCGAGCGCCGUUCGACAUGACAUGCGGUGGGUGUACGAGGAGAGACUUGGGAAGACAUCUUCGUGUGGCUUCGAGCGCGAAAAAUGUCAAAAUGACACGUGGAAGCUUGGGGAAACGGACACCGCGACCGACAGUGUGCAAGAACAAAGCACGGCGCCCAUUCACCAUUGCAUGCCCGCAUGACGAAACGACCCGAGUAGUCCUACCUCCUCGACCUUAGGCUCCUCCACUUCCUCAUGCACGCGCGCGUCCGCCGGCACCGGCUGCGGCACGAGCGGUGGACGCUGGUGGCGCCGGCGGACGCGCCCGUCGAGUGCCGCGACGAGCUGGUGGGCGCGAUGGCGCGGGGGAAGUUCGCGCGGGCGUGGAUGAAGAUGAAGGUGUUGGGGCCGGAGGAGGGGGUGUCGCGGGAGAUGCAGGUCGUACCCGACCCGCCGCUCGGCUCGCACGACGACCUGGGCUCGCUCGAGUCGCUGCUGCGGUGCCACAGAGAGAGGUACUAGCCGCAGUCGCUGCUGCCGCUCGUGGACCGGAUGCCGUGGUCGCGGUCGCCGUCGCUGACCCAGUGGUAGUCGGAGUACGCGCACGCGCUGUUCGUGGCGGAGGGGCUGUGGGACAGGACCCAGUUCAAGAGCGCGUAGCGGACCUGUUCGCUGCCGUUCCCGAAGAAGAUGAGCGCCAAGGGCCGAGGUUUCCUGCUGCUACCGCGCGGCCUCAGCCCCUAGUCCUGGCUGCAAUUAGAGUUGGUGCUCCAGAUGAUGGUAAAGGAACCUUGACUGGUCAGGCUGCUACAGUACACGACCUCUCUGGGGCUCGUAGGGUUCAUGUAUAUGUGGGGACUCCAAUGUCUCCUACCGUUCAUGCACGAGGACAGUCAAAGUCUCUCAAGUCUCGGCCAGUUGUUCAACAUGAUGACGCUGGAGAGUCGAGAAAGUCCGUACUUGCGUUUUCCUUGGGUGCUUUACGAAGGGAAACACUUCGAACACCUGUUUAAGCUCCGGAAGAUGCCUCAGCAGCGGUUGCUGCCGUGGGCUAAGUGUAAGGAGUGUUUGUUUCUGCGAGGCUCCACGUUUGACAGCGCCCAGCUGCAGCUACUAGGCGUCAGGACCUGGCUACAAGACGGACUUCUGCUGUCCCGACAGGAUCUCAGCCGCACACGACAGGUACCGCUGUUCCAAGACCACUUGAUGAACAGUCUACAGUUCAUGCACGACGUCUACUCCUCGGACCGGUGGCCUCUCGACGAGGUGCCGUAUGGGUAGCUGUAUCCGUCGCAGUUGCCCUAAUGGCCAUCCGCACCGCUAAGGCUCCACAAGUAGCUCAAGAGCUCGAAGGAGUGAGGCCCUUAGCAGAUGUCCACACUAGACUCGAGGCCCUCGGGACUCUACUCGUAUAUGUCUCUAUAAUUGCAGGGACCCAAGCUGGCGUGGCUGAAGCUUCGCUUCGUCCACAAAAUGGGCUCGUUCCUGCCCUGGUUCUAGGGCUACAAGCAGCACAGCUCCUUCUUCUAGCAGGAGCUGCCCAGCGUGGGCCGGGACGAGAAGCCGAUGCCGCCCAAGCCGUACUCGUACUGCGGCGUUAAGUCGCGCCGGGCGCAGCAGGAGUACUCCUUGGAUCCCAAGCACUGCACGUAGCGGUUGUAGUCCCCGCCGCCGCUCAUGCCGCUCCCGACCGUGUUCCGGCCGAGCGAGCGCUUGUUCGUCUUAACGAAGCUGCUGAAGCAGCGGCGGCCGCUCAAGGAGCACAGGCGGCCCAUGUGCUCGGGCUCGGCGGACACGUAGCUUCCGCCCUCGUUGCCGCCGGAGGACCAGCGGCGUACGUAGUUGGUCGCGGGACCAGAGAAGCCGACACGAGACCGAGUGCACCCACAGUACCUGUACGAAGCCAAGGUGUUCAAGUGGUAUCCAGCACGUACCCGAACACUAAAGCCGACGAGCCUCUUCCUCCUCCUUAAGGUGACCGAAUAGUUCAUGAGGGGAGACGUGUUGCACUCCGCCGGCACCCUCUUCCCGCGGCCGCCGCUGGUCGUGGCGGCGGUCAUGGGAGGGUGGUACGACGACUGCCGCCUGGUGCUGCUGGCGCAGCACGGCAGCGUGUGGGAGUUCAAGGAGCGCUGCUACGUCGUGCAGGACACGUGCUCGCACCUCGUGCCGGGGGUCUGGUUGGGGUAGCAGCGGGCCUAGCUGGCGUUCUCGCCUGUGCCGACGCCGGCGAGGUGCGUCUUCUAGUAGCUACUCCGACGCCUAGCAAUGCGCAAGCGCCGCUUCUACUACCCCCAGAGAACCUAGCUAACUCAAGGUAGGGGACGAGAGCCAGCUUCGGACCCACUAACCGUUCCAUAUGCCCGUUAACAUUGACGUCCGUCGAUAAACACGUGUGGAUACCUAUCGCUGCGUUUCGAAAUCCCACAAGCGGUUCUUUCGUGACACAGUUAUUGUCCGUAGACUGCCCUAAUGGUACAUACGAUUACCACGAAUACUGAGUUGUAUUGGUUUUCUUACUCUUGUUUAGCAACAGGGUCGAGCUAGGAUCUCAUUGAAAUAAUAGGCGCUCAGUGGUAUACAUCAUGAGGGCAACAUUUGAUUAUAUUCUCACAAAUUAGAAUAUAAUCAAAUGGGUUCCUCAUCAACUCUUAACGUCGGCUCGAGAAAGGCAGAGACGGAAAUAUAGAC
rnacentral:rRNA from 1 species